GAUGAACGCUGGCGGCGUGCCUAAUACAUGCAAGUCGAACGCAUUGUGGUUGAAAUGAUAUGAAGAACUUGUUCAGAUUUGAUUUUCAACAUUGCAAUGAGUGGCGAACGGGUGAGUAACACGUGGGAAACCUACCUCUUAGCAGGGGAUAACAUUUGGAAACAAAUGCUAAUACCGUAUAAUAAUUAAAACCGCAUGGUUUUAGUUUAAAAGAUGGUCUUGCUAUCACUAAGAGAUGGUCCCGCGGUGUAUUAGUUAGUUGGUGAGGUAAUGGCUCACCAAGACAAUGAUACAUAGCCGAGUUGAGAGACUGACCGGUCACAAUGGGACUGAGACACGGCCCAUACUCCUACGGGAGGCAGCAGUAGGAAAUCUUCCACAAUGGACGAAAAGUCUGAUGGAGCAACGCCGCGUGUGUGAUGAAGGGUUUCGGCUUCGUAAAACACUGUUGUAAGAGAA
rnacentral:rRNA from 1 species